UUCCUGUUUGGUUGCUGAAAUUAAGUCUUUUACAAAGGUGAUAAAAACCUAUAAAAAAAUAGUGGAGCACUAGAUUGUGCAAAACCAAGAAUUGCCUACCCUUAUUAUUGGGGUAUAAACCAGGAAGCACACCAGGUGUAUAAAAAACAAAACAAAUUUAGUGCAGAUUGUAACCAUUAAAGAUAUGUAUGUAAAUGGUAAUUGGAUCCACACACCUGGACAGGCGCCUAAAUAUAUUGGCUCCGUAUUAGAAGCAUCACAGCAUCACACCCUUCUGUAAUCCUCCAAUCAGAAGAAAAUAUAAAGGAGAAAGCAGUAAUAUAGCAUGUCAAACUUUAAAAACUUUCAUUAAUAAAAUAAAGCAUGG